AUUGAACGCUGGCGGCAGGCCUAACACAUGCAAGUCGAGCGGAUGAAGGGAGCUUGCUCCUGGAUUCAGCGGCGGACGGGUGAGUAAUGCCUAGGAAUCUGCCUGGUAGUGGGGGAUAACGUCCGGAAACGGGCGCUAAUACCGCAUACGUCCUGAGGGAGAAAGUGGGGGAUCUUCGGACCUCACGCUAUCAGAUGAGCCUAGGUCGGAUUAGCUAGUUGGUGGGGUAAAGGCCUACCCAGGCGCCGAUCCGUCACUGGUCUGAGAGGAUGAGCAGUCACCAUGGAACUGGGACAAGGGCCAGACUCCCUAGGGGAGCAGGAGGGGGGAAUAUUGGGCAAUGGGGGGAAGCCUUAUCCCAGCCAUCCGGGUGGGGGAAAGAGGGUCUUCGGUUUUAAAAGCAUUUUAUGGUGGAAGAAAGGCCAUAAGUUUAAACCCUGCUGUUUUUACCGUAACCAAAGAAAAAGCCCCCGCUAAAUUCGGG
rnacentral:rRNA from 1 species